GACGGGACCGCACAAGCGGUGGAUGAUGUGGUUUAAUUCGAUGCAACGCGAAAACCUUACCACCUUUGACAUGUACGGAAGCCUUUAGAGAUAGAGGCGUGCUCGAAAGAGAGCCGUAACACAGGUGCUGCAUGGCUGUCGUCAGCUCGUGUCGUGAGAUGUUGGGUUAAGUCCCGCAACGAGCGCAACCCUUACCCUUAGUUGCCAGCGGGUAAUGCCGGGCACUCUAAGGGGACCGCCCCGGAUAACGGGGAGGAAGGCGGGAUGACGUCAAGUCAGCAUGGCCUUUAUGUCCAGGGCUACACACGUGCUACAAUGGGCGAUACAGAGGGAAGCAAGGCCGCAAGGUAGAGCUAAUCCCUAAAGUCGUCCUCAGUUCGGAUUGCAGGCUGCAACUCGCCUGCAUGAAGUCGGAAUCGCUAGUAAUCGCGGAUCAGCUACGCCGCGGUGAAUACGUUCUCGGGCCUU
rnacentral:rRNA from 1 species